UUGCUUUAGCUGCACAUACCCUAAAAUUAGAAUGAUACGAAGAAGAUUAGCAUGGCCCCAGUGCAAGGAGGACACACAAAUUUGUUGAGCGUUCCAUAUUUUG